GACGAACGCUGGCGGCGUGCCUAACACAUGCAAGUCGAACGGGAUCGGGGGCAACUCCGGUUCAGUGGCGGACGGGUGCGUAACACGUGAGGAACAUGAAUUUCGGCGGGGGAUAGCCGGCCCAACGGCCGGGUAAUACCGCGUACGACCCACUGGAGACCUCUCCGUUGGGUGAAAGCAGCAAUGCACCGAAAGAGUGCCUCGCGGCCUAUCAGCUAGUUGGUGGGGUAAUGGCUCACCAAGGCGACGACGGGUAGCUGGUCUGAGAGGAUGGCCAGCCACAUUGGGACUGAGACACGGCCCAGACUCCUACGGGAGGCAGCGAGUGGGGAAUAUUGCGCAAUGGGCGAAAGCCUGACGCAGCGACGCCG
rnacentral:rRNA from 1 species